UUGGGAUCUUUGGUAACUGCUUGCAACUCAAGUCAGCAGUGGGGGAAAGGUGGGGUAAAUAGAUGCAGCUUUCACCUCCUGGGUUCUGAAGCAACACCAGUGUAAUGCCUCUGGCAGCCAUGCUGAUAGGCCACUGGAGGUUGCACUGCUGCCAAAAUGUACCUGGAGGUGGUAGAGAAUCCAGACCAGCAAACCUUCCAAUGCCCGAGUUCCUUCCGCUCCCGUGGAAACCUGGGGAAAAGUCCAGAUUGGCUGGUGCUCCAAGGAGGAAGAUGAUGUCAUAACCCACAAUUGGAAUUUCUGUUGCCCCGUCUCAAAUACAGAAAGACAGAAACAAAGAAAACAACAAGGAGGUUUUUUUACCUCCCUGCCUCCCAUCUGACACCUUCAGGGAAGGAAUUCUACCUGAUCAACACAUCAAAGAGCUACUCAACAUAACUCACAAAGACACUCUCAUGGACCCAGAGGGACAGACUUCCAUCUUCAGCUCCCUCUGUGCAAAAAUGAAGUUUAUUUCCUACCUCUGGGGACUUCUUACCAUCUUGUGCCAUCUACACUUUUCCCAGAGCCUGACGAAGGGACUUUGAUUCCGAAAGCUCGCAGAAAAGGACAAUUUUCUUGCCAUUUUCCAGUUGGUCUAA